rnacentral:lncRNA from 7 species
CCUUCUAGUUCACUUCUUCACCUCUUCCCUGGCACAGUCACUCGGAGGCAGUUGUUUCCACUUGUGGCCAUGGAGGAUUUCCUGAUCGCUUUGGGGUUUGGUGGCUGUGUGACGACGUGAGCAAUGCAAGCUAUUCUAGGAAAUAAUUGCCUCCCAGCUAAAACCAAGUUAAGAUCCUUCCAGUAGGCUCUGUGGGAUUCCAGCUCUCGAAGCUGGCUGGAGCAAAGCUUUCCAAGGCCGCAUUUCGAAUCGCUCCUGGUGCAGCAGGGUGGGCUCUGGGGCACAGCUAUGAGUAUCAGCGCUCCCACUGAUUUUUCGGAUGGGUUUUGGCUGCUCAGACCUCCUGGAGCUCAGCCCAGCAUUCUCCACGUGGCGUGGCUCCAGAAAUGGAAGCACUCCAAUGUGAAACAUCACCUGAGCUGUUAGGACCUGCUGGAGCAUUCCCUCUCGUGUUGGCCAGUGACCCAUAUGGAGCAGCAUGUUGCUGCUGAAUGGUGGCAGCUGCACCCACUGCAAUUCCCAGGCCUGGCACCCAUUCUCACAGUUGAGAUGUUGGCAAGUGAGGGAGGUGACAGGGCUCAGCCCCUGCCUCCUCCUGUUCUGGCUUGUGCAUCACAAUCCAUGCUGGCUACAGUGCCCUGGCAAGGCAGGUGUCCUGCUCUUGCUGCACACAACCAGAGGAAGUUCCCAAUGGGAAUCAGUCCCCACUCCUGCACUGCAAGCACAGCACUGUGAACCUUUUGGGGUGACAUUUGGCAAAAACAGAAGUGGAGGCUGAAUCUGCUCUGAAAGCCACAGUGUAGUUGCAAGCUUGGUCUGGCAAGGGGAUUUCCUGCACUUGCACAUCCCAUCCUAGCACAGGAGGUCUGACUGGAGAAAGCUGUGGGAUCCCAUUCUGAUAGAGAACCACACUGUCUGUAAAGCUGCUCACCUACCUCUGCCAAAAUGAGAAUCCUGAGCCUAAGCAUUGCAGGAAGCCUCAAGAACACAGAAUAAAUCCAACCUCACAAUUCACUGGAAUUAAGAGGUGGAGUGU